CACGAACGCUGGCGGCGUGCCUAAUACAUGCAAGUAGAACGCUGAGGACAGGUGCUUGCACUAGUCUAAGGAGUUGCGAACGGGUGAGUAACGCGUAGGUAACCUACCUGAUAGCGGGGGAUAACUAUUGGAAACGAUAGCUAAUACCGCAUAAAAGUGCUUAACACAUGUUAAGAACUUAAAAGGGGCAACUGCUCCACUAUGAGAUGGACCUGCGUUGUAUUAGCUAGUUGGUGAGGUAAAGGCUCACCAAGGCGACGAUACAUAGCCGACCUGAGAGGGUGAUCGGCCACACUGGGACUGAGACACGGCCCAGACUCCUACGGGAGGCAGCAGUAGGGAAUCUUCGGCAAUGGGGGGAACCCUGACCGAGCAACGCCGCGUGAGUGAAGAAGGUUUUCGGAUCGUAAAGCUCUGUUGUUAGAGAAGAACGGUAAUGGGAGUGGAAAACCCAUUAUGUGACGGUAACUAACCAGAAAGGGACGGCUAACUACGUGCCAGCAGCCGCGGUAA
rnacentral:rRNA from 1 species